UUUUUGUUGUUGUUUAGUUUCUUGAUUUAUGUUGUCAUGGCAAAAAUGAACAAAAGCAAAUGAAAUAUUUGAGAUUUAGCCAUUUCACCUUAUAACUUUAUAUAUGACAAAUGUUAGUGGUGUAACGGAUAACAAAUCUCACAGUUCGGAUCACAUUAUGGUCCUUUGUCCCACUUUAUAUUAAGUGUCCUUAACUACUAUGUACUUGCAUCAAAAAUAAAUACAAUGUACUUACUGUGUUUCUAAUGUAUUUGAGAACACUUGUGGUGCUUUUGAGUUGGGAUAGACGUUGGGUUACGGACAGGUUUGGUGGUAUGGGUAGGUUUAAGGGGGGGUUGAGGCUUAAGGGAUGGUCAACAGUGUAUUUACAAAUGUAAUUACAAAAGUUAUCUACAGAUGUAAUUACAUCAAGCACAAGUACACAGUAAAUACAUGUAUUUACACAAUAAGUACAUUGUAACAAACUUUUAAUUCUUGUGUAAGUAAAUAUUAAUUAAGGCGACUUAAUAUAAAGUGGGACCUGGUC
ensembl:processed_transcript